rnacentral:miRNA from 17 species
CAGCGCCCUUACCUCCGCCCGCUCGGUCGCCACGUGGCGGCCGAGCGAGGGCCUCGGGGUAACGC